rnacentral:rRNA from 1 species
AGAGCGAACGCUGGCGGCAGGCCUAAUACAUGCAAGUCGAGCGCACCUUCGGGUGAGCGGCGGACGGGUGAGUAACGCGUGGGAAUAUGCCCUUUGGUACGGAACAACUGAGGGAAACUUCAGCUAAUACCGUAUGUGCCCUUCGGGGGAAAGAUUUAUCGCCAUUGGAGUAGCCCGCGUUGGAUUAGCUAGUUGGUAGGGUAAAGGCCUACCAAGGCUACGAUCCAUAGCUGGUCUGAGAGGAUGAUCAGCCACACUGGGACUGAGACACGGCCCAGACUCCUACGGGAGGCAGCAGUGGGGAAUCUUGCGCAAUGGGCGAAAGCCUGACGCAGCAACGCCGCGUGGAGGACGAAGGCUUUCUGAGUUGUAAACUCCUUUCAGCAGGGACGAUUGUGACGGUACCUGCAGAAGAAGCACCGGCAACUACGCGCCAGCAGCCGC